AGUGAACGCUGGCGGUAGGCCUAACACAUGCAAGUCGAACGGCAGCACAGUAAGAGCUUGCUCUUACGGGUGGCGAGUGGCGGACGGGUGAGGAAUACAUCGGAAUCUACUUUUUCGUGGGGGAUAACGUAGGGAAACUUACGCUAAUACCGCAUACGACCUACGGGUGAAAGCAUGGGAUCUUCGGACCUUGCGCGAUUGAAUGAGCCGAUGUCGGAUUAGCUAGUUGGCGGGGUAAAGGCCCACCAAGGCGACGAUCCGUAGCUGGUCUGAGAGGAUGAUCAGCCACACUGGAACUGAGACACGGUCCAGACUCCUACGGGAGGCAGCAGUGGGGAAUAUUGGACAAUGGGCGCAAGCCUGAUCCAGCCAUACCGCGUGGGUGAAGAAGGCCUUCGGGUUGUAAAGCCCUUUUGUUGGGAAAGAAAAGCAGCAGGUUAAUACCACGCUGUUCUGACGGUACCCAAAGAAUAAGCACCGGCUAACUUCGUG
rnacentral:rRNA from 1 species